rnacentral:rRNA from 1 species
AUGGGACGCCGUGCCGAGGCAGCGGGCGGCGCCGCUCGCGACUUGCUCCCUUGUGUCCCACCUGCCGGUCGCGGACCUGAAGGUCUCCACGCGCACGCGCUGACGCCGGCGCCGGGCGAGGAGGACCACGGUGAAGGUGAGCAGGCCAGUGGACGACGCGUCGUAGUGGAAACCCGUGUUGGCCGCGCUGACCGGCGAGAUGGUGGACGGGGGGAGCAAAAGCCAGCGGUUCGCGGCCGGGUCGCACACAUAGUAGCGGCUCCGGCUGCAGCCCAGCAGCAGCCGGCCGUGCGACGCCACGAUCGAGAUGUCGAGCAUCGGGACGGUGCACUCGAAGAAGACGACGUAAUCUUCUACUCGCUCUCCCAGGGGCGGCGCCGGCACAGCAUCCUCAUCCGAGGCGUCCGUCGUCGUUGUGGUUGUGGCCUGGCCAGACGAGAUGUCGACGCCAUCCACAGGCAGAUCGUGGCCAUGCCGAUCAGCGUCGUCGUGGUCGUCCGCCGCAGGAGAAGCAGGAUCGUCCGUGCCGGUGGAGUAGAGAAGUUGGAAUUGGAACACGGAGUCGUCUCCAGCCGUGUCAAGGAGGCAGGGCUGCGUGUCGGAGUUGGUAGCCAUGUACUUGCGCUGGAGAGGGACGUUGACGGGGACGCGACCUGCGGGUUCGAUGGGGACGAGGGUGAGGUGGGUGAAGUAACCGACGUUGCGCCGCGGCUGGAUGACGAGCGCGUACGGGCGGUCGUCGAGGAGCGGGAGCGGCCGCGGGGAGAGAUGGCGGCUGAGGAACGUCGGCAGGGAGAGCACCGUGCGCCACCACGGGCUGACGGCGGCGACACGGUAGGCAUCCUUGGUGGGCAGCCGGUAAAGAAUUUCGGAGAGGAUGCCGUCGUCCAGGUGCGGCAUGGGUCGCGGCGCGUCGCCGCAUCUCGGCGUGAUGGGAUUCGCCAUCUGCACUUUCCUUCCCUAUGUCUCCGUGACUCCAUCGGUAUUUUUCUGUUUAUAUUAUCAAAACAACAAAUCAAGACGCACGCGGCCCAGUAA